AGGGUUUGAUUAUGGCUCAGAUUGAACGCUGGCGGCAUGCUUUACACAUGCAAGUCGAACGGCAGCACGGGGAGCUUGCUCCCGGGUGGCGAGUGGCGCACGGGUGAGUAAUACAUCGGAACGUGUCCUCUUGUGGGGGAUAACAACCCGAAAGGGUUGCUAAUACCGCAUGAGACCUGAGGGUGAAAGCGGGGGAUCGCAAGACCUCGCGCAAGGGGAGCGGCCGAUGCCCGAUUAGCUGGUUGGUGAGGUAAAGGCUCACCAAGGCGACGAUCGGUAGCUGGUCUGAGAGGACGACCAGCCACACUGGGACUGAGACACGGCCCAG
rnacentral:rRNA from 1 species